UUCUUGCUUUCAUCUUUGCGUUAUGAGGUUUAUAAUUUGCAUGAAUAUGUUAAAAAGAGAAAAAGAAGGAUUAAUCAUGUACUUAAUUGCCAUUGCUCCUAGUCAUGCCUUUUUUUCAUUUCUUAUAUGUGAUAGAUACCCUAUGAUGAUAGUGGGUAUAAUCUGUACUACUAAUUUAUUUGAAGUUUUGAAAUAAAUUUGAAGAGCAAACCUUAGGUGAGUGAAGGCUUGAUUGCAACUAAGUCAAAGGAACUGGUAGUGUAAUUAGACCUGACUUAUUUCUCAAAUUGAGGCUUCCUCAUUAGGUGCCUGAUUCGAGGAAUAUCAGUUUAUGGAGCACUCAUCUGUAGGUGGAAUCACUGCUGUGUUUCCUCUGGGUAGGCACUGCUCCUGUUGUCUUUUGAAUUUAUUUUUUUUUUUUUUAAAUACAAGUUUAGAGCAAACAAGAAAAACCUAAAAAUGUAUUCCAAGGAGAUUAAUUCGUAGUUGGGUAUUUCAUUCAUUUCAAUGUGUAAUGGUAGAAAGGUGAAAUUCUAUCUGGAGCAGCUGUUAAGUAACUUUUUCAGAUGUCUCUCAACAAAGUCUACCUUAAUCAGAAGGUGUUGGGGCAGGUUAAGUAAGCUGUUUAGUGGCAAGGAGACACCAACAUCCCAAAUCCUGAUUACUUUCAGCCUAGUUAGCCAGCAAGGUAAGCAUGCUCCCUGCCUCUCAAAUACUUGAGUGUUUGAAUUCAGAAGUUAACCAGGAAAUAGGUAAAUACAUAAACAUGGUAAUAUGUAUAGCCUAAAAUUAAAAGCAUCUGUAGCAUUUAUUUCUAGCCCAAAGAAUAUGGCUUAAAUAAUAGGAAAUAUUGUUGCAUUCAGUUAGAACCAAAGUUGAGGAUCCAGUGGUCUUCCAGUGGCCUUAAAUGACUGUGCUGCUUAUGGGCUGGCAGUUUUUUCUUAGGUAUAAAGAGGAAAUUAUCUUCUGUUUAAAGGAAAUAGCAAACUGGAUUUUUCUUCUAGUUUGACUUCCUUUCAACUAUGGGGGUAUAGCUUUUCACGGUUUAGAAUGAUUAUGUAUUUUGGGGGGAAAAAUUGUUAGUAUAUACACAGAACUUGAAAAAGUGAUUGAAGAAAAUUGCUUAGGUGUAAGGCAGCAUUCAUUUGAAAUAAAUUGUCAUUAAUGCUCAAACACGUAUUAGCAAAACAUUGCUAGAAUAUUGACUGGACACAGCAACAAUUAUAGUAACAUGGUGGGCAUCUGUAUAUAUGUAACAAAACAUAUCUGUAUCUUUUUUUAAUAGCGUUUAAAAAACCCCAAGCCUACUUUGGAACAUUGUAUACUUUUUAAUUAUUUGCUAAUUAUAGUUUCACUUUAAAAAGGCAGAAAUCUGUGUUGUGAUUGAGCAUGUUACUCUUGCAACACAGCAAACUGCCAAGUGGUGAAGGUUUAAAAUUUGGCUUGCAAUCAGUUCUCUGUCAGUUUGUCAACAGCACAGUCCUUAGGAACACUGUUUCCUGAAAUCUUCUCCUACUGUUUACUACAGGAAAUUUUCUGCUUUUCAGCAGAGUGAACGUAAUGGUAAACAUACCAUUGGUAUGGAAAAUGGCAAUAUAGUAAGAAAUCUAUAAAUCUCUGAUGGCCAAUGAAUGUAAAGUAGAUGAAUCUUACUAGGAGAAAGUUUAAAAUUCAACGUAAAAACAUAAAAAGAUGUCAUUGACUCUUCUAGAUUUAUAUACUGAGGAAUAAAAUCCCUACAUUCCCACAACAGAAAUCAGGAAUCUGCAUAAUGAAAACAUUUUCCUGAGGAAUCUUAAUUACGCUGCAUAUCAAACUGGGAUUUUGCAGGUGAAUCUGUUGGCAAGGUUUUUUUUAUUGGUAUCAAUCUAAUUGGUAGAUUUUUUCUUUAUUUUUUUUUAAUCUUAAUAUUCUGUUAGUAAGAUUCAUACUUGCUUGUCCUCAUUCACGAUUUAAUGAAGAAAGGCAGUUUCAUAUUGGCCGAUUCUUCUCUGUGCCUACAUAAUCUUUCUGAUGCUUUUCUGUAUAACUAAGUUAAGGUAUGUUUUGUGUUUUGUUUUUUUUUCCCGGCUGUCUUCUCUGUCAAUCUCCCUCAUUGCUUUUAGUCCAUUUCAUCAUUCCAGUGCUGCAUCCACUCACUGGCUGAAGCCUUUCUGCUCUCAGAGCUCAGCAUGCUUUCAGAUGAAGGUCAUGACAUAAAGGUCUGCCAUUUCAAACCACUCCACUGCUGUGUUUUUUUACCCUUUGUUGCAGAGUCUUCCUAGCUCUUCCUGGCCAGUGAGGAUUCUGUCCUUCUCCUCCUCAAUCUUCUGUCUUCAUUUUGCUUUAUAAUCUUAACUGAAUAUUUUUAUUAAAUAGUUUUUAAUGCUGUAUUUAAAUUUUCACAUGGAAAUUCUGUAUUUUGCACACAGUGAAAAUUGUUUUAGCUUUAUUUAUGAUAUCUGCUGUAAACAAAAAUAAAUGUAGUUCUUUGUAA